GAUGAACGCUAGCGAUAGGCUUAACACAUGCAAGUCGAGGGGUAACGUGUUGGAAGCUUGCUUCCGAUGACGACGACCGGCGGAUGGGUGCGUAACGCGUAUGCAACUUGCCUCACAGUGGAGAAUAACCCGGAGAAAUCCGGACUAAUACUCCAUACACUCUUAAGUACGCCUGUACAUGAGAGGAAAGAUUUAUCGCUGUGAGAUAGGCAUGCGUCCUAUUAGGUAGUUGGUGAGGUAACGGCUCACCAAGCCGACGAUAGGUAGGGGUGCUGAGAGGAAGACCCCCCACAUGGGGACGGAGCCCCGGCCCAAACUCCUAGGGGGGGAAGCAGGGGGGAAUAUUGGUAAAUGGAGGAAACUCGGAACCAGCCAAGCCGGGUGAAGGAAGAAUGUCCUAGGGUUUGAAAACUUCUUUGGCGGGGGGGUAAGGACUUCCACGUGAUGGGGGUUUGAAAGUGGCCCGAAAAUAAGGAUCGGCUAACUCCGU
rnacentral:rRNA from 1 species